rnacentral:rRNA from 2 species
AAAUUGAAGAGUUUGAUCAUGGCUCAGAUUGAACGCUGGCGGCAGGCCUAACACAUGCAAGUCGAACGGUAACAGGAAGCAGCUUGCUGCUUCGCUGACGAGUGGCGGACGGGUGAGUAAUGUCUGGGAAACUGCCUGAUGGAGGGGGAUAACUACUGGAAACGGUGGCUAAUACCGCAUAACGUCGCAAGACCAAAGAGGGGGACCUUCGGGCCUCUUGCCAUCAGAUGUGCCCAGAUGGGAUUAGCUUGUUGGUGAGGUAACGGCUCACCAAGGCGACGAUCCCUAGCUGGUCUGAGAGGAUGACCAGCCACACUGGAACUGAGACACGGUCCAGACUCCUACGGGAGGCAGCAGUGGGGAAUAUUGCACAAUGGGCGCAAGCCUGAUGCAGCCAUGCCGCGUGUAUGAAGAAGGCCUUCGGGUUGUAAAGUACUUUCAGCAGGGAGGAAGGUGUUGUGGUUAAUAACCGCAGCAAUUGACGUUACCCGCAG